AUGACUCUCGGCAACGGAUAUCUCGGCUCUUACAUCGAUGAAGAACGUAGCAAAAUGCGAUACUUGGUGUGAAUUGCAGAAUCCCGUGAACCAUCGAGUCUUUGAACGCAAGUUGCGCCCGAAUCCAUCUGGUCGAGGGCACGUCUGCCUGGGUGUCACG
rnacentral:rRNA from 1 species